GAUUAACGCUAGCGGCAGGCAUAAUACAUGCAAGUUGAACGAGAUAAGUUGUAGCAAUACGGCUUUGAAAGUGGCGCACGGGUGCGUAACACGUAUGCAACCUACCUUAUACAGAGGAAUAGCCUCUCGAAAGAGAGAUUAAUACCUCAUAACAUAUAGAAGAGGCAUCUUUUUUAUAUUAAAGCUCCGGCGGUAUAAGAUGGGCAUGCGGCUGAUUAGGUAGUUGGUGAGGUAAUGGCUCACCAAGCCGACGAUCAGUAGGGGGUCUGAGAGGAUGACCCCCCACACUGGUACUGAGACACGGACCAGACUCCUACGGGAGGCAGCAGUAGGGAAUUUUGGACAAUGGGGGCAACCCUGAUCCAGCCAUUCCGCGUGAGUGAAGAAGGCCUUCGGGUUGUAAAGCUCUUUUGUCCGGGAAGAAACGGUUUCACCUAAUACGUGAGACUACUGACGGUACCGGAAGAAUAAGGACCGGCUAACUACGUGCCAGCCGCCGCGGUAAAAC
rnacentral:rRNA from 1 species